UGUGCCAGCAGCCGCGGUAAUACGUAGGGUGCGAGCGUUGUCCGGAAUUACUGGGCGUAAAGGGCUCGUAGGUGGUUUGUCGCGUCGUCUGUGAAAUUCCGGGGCUUAACUCCGGGCGUGCAGGCGAUACGGGCAUAACUUGAGUACUGUAGGGGUAACUGGAAUUCCUGGUGUAGCGGUGAAAUGCGCAGAUAUCAGGAGGAACACCGAUGGCGAAGGCAGGUUACUGGGCAGUUACUGACGCUGAGGAGCGAAAGCAUG
rnacentral:rRNA from 1 species